rnacentral:rRNA from 1 species
UACGGGGGGGGCAAGCGUUGUUCGGAAUUACUGGGCGUAAAGGGCUUGUAGGUGGCCAACUAAGUCAGACGUGAAAUCCCUCGGCUUAACCGGGGAACUGCGUCUGAUACUGGAUGGCUUGAGUGUGGGAGAGGGAUGCGGAAUUCCAGGUGUAGCGGUGAAAUGCGUAGAUAUCUGGAGGAACACCGGUGGCGAAGGCGGCAUCCUGGACCAACACUGACGCUGAUGAGCGAAAGCCAGGGGAGCAAACGGG